UAGGGAAUAUUGCACAAUGGAGGAAACUCUGAUGCAGCCAUGCCGCGUGUGUGAAGAAGGCCUUCGGGUUGUAAAGCACUUUCGGAGGGGAGGAACAAAUGACGUUACCCUCAGAAGAAGCACCGGCUAACUCCGUGCCAGCAGCCGCGGUAAUACGUAGGGGCAAGCGUUAUCCGGAUUUACUGGGUGUAAAGGGAGCGUAGACGGCAAUGCAAGUCUGAAGUGAAAGGCCGGGGCUCAACCCCGGGACUGCUUUGGAAACUGUGUAGCUGGAGUACAGGAGAGGUAAGUGGAAUUCCUAGUGUAGCGGUGAAAUGCGUAGAUAUUAGGAGGAACACCAGUGGCGAAGGCGGCUUACUGGACUGUAACUGACGUUGAGGCUCGAAAGCGUGGGGAGCAAACAGGAUUAGAUACCCUGGUAGU
rnacentral:rRNA from 1 species